rnacentral:rRNA from 1 species
GACAGAGGGUGCAAACGUUGCUCGGAAUUACUGGGCGUAAAGCGCGUGUAGGUGGAUUGGUGUGUCAGAUAUGAAAGCCCUGGGCUCAACCCAGGAAUUGCACCUGAAACUACCAGUCUUGAGUGGUGGAGAGGGAAGUGGAAUUCCUGGUGUAGAGGUGAAAUUCGUAGAUAUCAGGAGGAACACCAGUGGCGAAGGCGGCUUCCUGGAUACCAACUGACGCUGAGACGCGAAAGCGUGGGGAGCAAACAGG